rnacentral:rRNA from 1 species
AUUGAACGCUGGCGGCAGGCCUAACACAUGCAAGUCGAGCGGAUGAAGGGAGCUUGCUCCUGGAUUCAGCGGCGGACGGGUGAGUAAUGCCUAGGAAUCUGCCUGGUAGUGGGGGAUAACGUCCGGAAACGGGCGCUAAUACCUCAUACGUCCUGAGGGAGAAAGUGGGGGAUCUUCGCACCUCACGCUAUCAGAUGAACCUAGGUCGGAUUAGCUAGUUGGUGGGGUAAAGGCCUACCAAGGCGACGAUCCGUAACUGGUCUGAGAGGAUGAUCAGUCACACUGGAACUGAGACACGGUCCAGACUCCUACGGGAGGCAGCAGUGGGGAAUAUUGGACAAUGGGCGAAAGCCUGAUCCAGCCAUGCCGCGUGUGUGAAGAAGGUCUUCGGAUUGUAAAGCACUUUAAGUUGGGAGGAAGGGCAGUAAGUUAAUACCUUGCUGUUUUGACGUUACCAACAGAAUAAGCACCGGCUAACUUCGUG